UACGUAGGGUGCGAGCGUUAAUCGGAAUUACUGGGCGUAAAGCGUGCGCAGGCGGUGAGCUGUGUCCGAUGUGAAAGCCCCGGGCUUAACCUGGGAAUGGCAUUGGAAACUGGCUCGCUGGAGUGUGGCAGAGGGGGGUGGAAUUCCGCGUGUAGCAGUGAAAUGCGUAGAGAUGCGGAGGAACACCGAUGGCGAAGGCAGCCCCCUGGGUCAAGAUUGACGCUCAUGCACGAAAGCGUGGGGAGCAAACAGG
rnacentral:rRNA from 1 species